AUGCUCCUCCUUUAUUAACUUUCGACAGUCGACCCAGCCUUCUUUGUGAGUUUGAUGAAAAAUCUUCUCGCUAAAGCCCAGAUGGUUGUCGCAGUAUUAUUCAGAUGCCUUGAAUAUCUCAACCGCUCGAACUAUCUCCUCAACGAAGGUAGGUGAUGCCUUGAAUUCCUCAACGGAGGAGCACUUAGCAUCUUGAAUGUGCUUCUCAAUCCUUCUCUCCACCUCUUUCCCCCUCUCUAGGGUAAGGGCAAGAUCGGACUCCACCUGCCCGAGGGUCCUCUAGAGAUGCUUGGCCUCGACCUUUAGUUCCUUGAUUUUCGUUCAAGUUACUUGGGUGUCCAUCUCAGCUUUCUUUUUGACCUCUCGUGCCUGUGCCUCUCUGGUUGAGCGAUCUGAUAAGUUGACA
rnacentral:lncRNA from 1 species